rnacentral:rRNA from 1 species
GUCGAACGGCAGCACGGAGAGCUUGCUCUCUAGGUGGCGAGUGGCGAACGGGUGAGUAAUAUAUCGGAACGUGUCCAAUAAUGGGGGAUAACGAGUCGAAAGAUUCGCUAAUACCGCAUACGCCCUACGGGGGAAAGCAGGGGAUCGUAAGACCUUGCGUUAAUGGAGCGGCCGAUAUCUGAUUAGCUUGUUGGUGAGGUAAAGGCUCACCAAGGCGACGAUCAGUAGCUGGUUUGAGAGAACGACCAGCCACACUGGAACUGAGACACGGUCCAGACUCCUACGGGAGGCAGCAGUGGGGAAUUUUGGACAAUGGGGGCAACCCUGAUCCAGCCAUUCCGCGUGAGUGAAGAAGGCCUUUCGGGUUGUAAAGCUCUUUCGCAAAGGGAAGAAAACUUAUGAUCGAAUAAAUCAUUGAGGUUGACGGUGACCUUGGAUAAGAAGCACCGGCUUAACUACGUGCCAGCAGCCGCGGUAAUACGUAGGGUGCGAAGCGUUUAUCUGGAAUUACUGGGCGUAAGCGUGCGCAGCGCGGUUUGUAAGUCUGGAUGUGAAAUCCCUGGGCUCAACCUGGGAACUGCGUUCGAAACUGCAGGCUAGAGUGUGUCAGAGGGGGGUAGAAUUCCACGUGUAGCAGUGAAAUGCGUAGAGAUGUGGAGGAAUACCAAUGGCGAAGGCGCCCCCUGGGAUAACACUGACGCUCAUGCACGAAAGCGUGGGGAGCAAACAGGAUUAGAUACCCUGGUAGUCCACGCCCUAAACGAUGUCAACUAGUUGUUGGUAGAGUAAAAUCUAUGAGUAACGUAGCUAACGCGUGAUAGUUGACCGCCUGGGGAGUACGGUCGCAAGAUUUAAACUCCAAGGAAUUUGACGGGGGCCCGCACAAGCGCGUGGAUUAUGUGGAUUAAUUCGAUGGCAACGCGAGAAACCUUACCUGGCCUUGACAUGUACCGAAUUGAGCAGAGAUGUUCAAGUGCUCGAAAGAGAACGGUAACACAGGUGCUGCAUGGCUGUCGUCAGCUCGUGUCGUGAGAUGUUGGGUUAAGUCCCCGCAACGAGCGCAACCCUUGCCAUUAAUUGCCAUCAUUUAGUUGGGCACUUUAAUGGGACUGCCGGUGACAAACCGGAGGAAGGUGGGGAUGACGUCAAGUCAUCAUGGCCCUUAUGACCAGGGCUUCACACGUAAUACAAUGGUCGGUACAGAGGGUUGCCAACCCGCGAGGGGGAGCCAAUCCCAGAAAGCCGAUCGUAGUCCGGAUUGUGGUCUGCAACUCGACUGCAUGAAGUCGGAAUCGCUAGUAAUUCGCUGGAUCAAGCAUGUCGCGGUGAAUACGUUCCCGGGCCUUGUACACACCGCCCGUCACACCAAUGGGAGAGUGGGUUUUACCAGAAGUAGUUAGUCUAACCUGUAAGGGAGACGAUUACCACGGUUAGUGAUUCAUGACUGGGGUGAAGUCGUAACAAGGUAGCCGUAUCGGAAGGUGCGGCUGGAUCACCUCCUU